rnacentral:rRNA from 1 species
CCUACGGGUGGCAGCAGUGAGGAAUAUUGGUCAAUGGGCGCGAGCCUGAACCAGCCAAGUAGCGUGAAGGAUGACUGCCCUACGGGUUGUAAACUUCUUUUAUAAAGGAAUAAAGUGAGGCACGUGUGCCUUGUUGUAUGUACUUUAUGAAUAAGGAUCGGCUAACUCCGUGCCAGCAGCCGCGGUAAUACGGAGGAUCCGAGCGUUAUCCGGAUUUAUUGGGUUUAAAGGGAGCGUAGAUGGGUUGUUAAGUCAGUGGUGAAAGUGUGCGGCUCAACCCUAAAAUUGCCAUUGAUACUGGCAGCCUUGAGUACGGUUGAGGUAGGCGGAAUUCGUGGUGUAGCGGUGAAAUGCUUAGAUAUCACGAAGAACUCCGAUUGCGAAGGCAGCUUACUAACUUGACACUGACGUUGAUGCUCGAAAGUGUGGGUAUCAAACAGGAUUAGAUACCCCAGUAGUC